GCCCGGAUAGCUCAGUCAGUAGAGCAUCAGACUUUUAAUCUGAGGGUCUAUGGUUCAAGUCCCUGUUCGGGCA
rnacentral:tRNA from 2 species